rnacentral:rRNA from 1 species
UACGUAGGGUGCAAGCGUUUGUCCGGAAUUAUUGGGCGUAAAGAGCUCGUAGGCGGUUUGUCGCGUCUGCUGUGAAAACCCGAGGCUCAACCUCGGGCCUGCAGUGGGUACGGGCAGACUAGAGUGCGGUAGGGGAGAUUGGAAUUCCUGGUGUAGCGGUGAAAUGCGCAGAUAUCAGGAGGAACACCGGUGGCGAAGGCGGGGUCUCUGGGCCGAUACUGACGCUGAGGAGCGAAAGCGUGGGGAGCGAACAGG